rnacentral:rRNA from 1 species
GUAGGUGGCAAGCGUUGUCCGGAAUUAUUGGGCGUAAAGCGCGCGCAGGUGGUUCUUUAAGUCUGAUGUGAAAGCCCCCGGCUCAACCGGGGAGGGUCAUUGGAAACUGGGGAACUUGAGUGCAGGAGAGGAAAGUGGAAUUCCACGUGUAGCGGUGAAAUGCGUAGAUAUGUGGAGGAACACCAGUGGCGAAGGCGACUUUCUGGCCUGUAACUGACACUGAGGCGCGAAAGCGUGGGGAGCAAACAGGAUUAGAUACCCUGGUAGUCCACGCCGUAAACGAUGAGUGCUAAGUGUUGGGGGGGUUUCCGCCCCUCAGUGCUGCAGCUAACGCAUUAAGCACUCCGCCUGGGGAGUACGGUCGCAAAGACUG